rnacentral:rRNA from 1 species
UACGUAGGCAGCAAGCGUUGUUCGGAGUUACUGGGCGUAAAGGGUGCGUAGGCGGUCCUAUAAGUAUGGUGUGAAAUCUCCCGGCUUAACUGGGAGGGUGCGCUAUAGACUGUGGGACUAGAGUGUGGGAGAGGAAAGUGGAAUUCCCGGUGUAGCGGUGAAAUGCAUAGAUAUCAGGAGGAACACCGGUGGUGUAAACGGCUUUCUGGACCAUAACUGACGCUGAGGCACGAAAGCGUGGGUAGCAAACAGG